rnacentral:rRNA from 1 species
GACGAACGCUGGCGGCGUGCUUAACACAUGCAAGUCGAACGGAAAGGCCCUGCUUUUGUGGGGUGCUCGAGUGGCGAACGGGUGAGUAACACGUGAGUAACCUGCCCUUGACUUUGGGAUAACUUCAGGAAACUGGGGCUAAUACCGGAUAGGAGCUCCUGCUGCAUGGUGGGGGUUGGAAAGUUUCGGCGGUUGGGGAUGGACUCGCGGCUUAUCAGCUUGUUGGUGGGGUAGUGGCUUACCAAGGCUUUGACGGGUAGCCGGCCUGAGAGGGUGACCGGCCACAUUGGGACUGAGAUACGGCCCAGACUCCUACGGGAGGCAGCAGUGGGGAAUAUUGCACAAUGGGCGGAAGCCUGAUGCAGCAACGCCGCGUGCGGGAUGACGGCCUUCGGGUUGUAAACCGCUUUCGCCUGUGACGAAGCGUGAGUGACGGUAAUGGGUAAAGAAGCACCGGCUAACUACGUGCCAGCAGCCGCGGUGAUACGUAGGGUGCGAGCGUUGUCCGGAUUUAUUGGGCGUAAAGGGCUUGUAGGUGGUUGAUCGCGUCGGAAGUGUAAUCUUGGGGCUUAACCCUGAGCGUGCUUUCGAUACGGGUUGACUUGAGGAAGGUAGGGGAGAAUGGAAUUCCUGGUGGAGCGGUGGAAUGCGCAGAUAUCAGGAGGAACACCAGUGGCGAAGGCGGUUCUCUGGGCCUUUCCUGACGCUGAGGAGCGAAAGCGUGGGGAGCGAACAGGCUUAGAUACCCUGGUAGUCCACGCUGUAAACGGUGGGUACUAGGUGUGGGGUCCAUUCCACGGGUUCCGUGCCGUAGCUAACGCUUUAAGUACCCCGCCUGGGGAGUACGGCCGCAAGGCUAAAACUCAAAGGAAUUGACGGGGCCCCGCACAAGCGGCGGAGCAUGCGGAUUAAUUCGAUGCAACGCGUAGAACCUUACCUGGGUUUGACAUGGAUCGGGAGUGCUCAGAGAUGGGUGUGCCUCUUUUGGGGUCGGUUCACAGGUGGUGCGUGGCUGUCGUCAGCUCGUGUCGUGAGAUGUUGGGUUAAGUCCCGCAACGAGCGCAACCCUUGUUCACUGUUGCCAGCACGUUAUGGUGGGGACUCAGUGGAGACCGCCGGGGUCAACUCGGAGGAAGGUGGGGAUGACGUCAAGUCAUCAUGCCCCUUAUGUCCAGGGCUUCACGCAUGCUACAAUGGCUGGUACAGAGAGUGGCGAGCCUGUGAGGGUGAGCGAAUCUCGGAAAGCCGGUCUCAGUUCGGAUUGGGGUCUGCAACUCGACCUCAUGAAGUCGGAGUCGCUAGUAAUCGCAGAUCAGCAACGCUGCGGUGAAUACGUUCCCGGGGCU